GGGGAUGUGGCUUAGUGAAGGAGCACUUGCCUGAAAUACAUGAGACCUUGGGUUCAAUCCCCAGCCCUA
rnacentral:tRNA from 1 species